rnacentral:rRNA from 1 species
CCUACGGGUGGCAGCAGUGAGGAAUAUUGGUCAAUGGGCGCGAGCCUGAACCAGCCAAGUCGCGUGAGGGAUGAAGGUUCUAUGGAUUGUAAACCUCUUUUAUAAGGGAAUAAAGUGUGGGACGUGUCCUAUUUUGUAUGUGCUUUAUGAAUAAGGAUCGGCUAACUCCGUGCCAGCAGCCGCGGUAAUACGGAGGAUCCGAGCGUUAUCCGGAUUUAUUGGGUUUAAAGGGUGCGUAGACGGGCUUUUAAGUCAGCGGUGAAAGUCUGCGGCUCAACCGUAGAAUUGCCGUUGAUACUGGGAGCCUUGAGUAUAGUUGAGGUAGGCGGAAUGCGUGGUGUAGCGGUGAAAUGCUUAGAUAUCACGCAGAACCCCGAUUGCGAAGGCAGCCUACCAAACCGUGACUGACACUGAUGCACGAAAGCGUGGGGAUCAAACAGGAUUAGAUACCCGGUAGUC